rnacentral:misc_RNA from 1 species
GACGAACCGUGCGAACGUUGUUCGGAAUCACUGGGCUUAAAGGGCGCGUAGGCGGGUGGCCAAGUCAGUGGUGAAAUCCCCCGGCUCAACCGGGGACGUGCCUCUGAUACUGGUCGUCUCGAGGAAGGUAGGGGCACGUGGAACUUCCGGUGGAGCGGUGAAAUGCGUAGAGAUCGGAAGGAACGCCGGUGGCGAAAGCGACGUGCUGGGCCUUUUCUGACGCUGAGGCGCGAAAGCUAGGGUAGCGAACGGG